GCCUGCUGUUUUUCAGCCACCUUUUCAAGCCGUAGAGUUGGAAUUAAUUUCGUCAGGACACGUCCUGCUGCGUCCAGCUAAAUCCUGCCCUGGGAGAGACGUGCUGAGGCUAUCUCUGUGGAAACCACUAAUGGAUACUUUCAACCUCCUCACUUUCAUCUAACGUUUCUUCAGUGAGAGAAAACAAGAAGAACGGAAGGAGCAGUUCUCAGCAGAUUACCGUAUCACGAGACCUAGUUCUGACAUUUACAGCAGUGCCCUAUAUCUCACCUUACUGUAAAAAUCUCAAACAAAAGACAAUGGAUACAAGUGGAAACAGUAAAGUACUGCACCAACUAUCCAAACGCCAGCAAUCAC